rnacentral:rRNA from 1 species
AACGAACGCUGGCGGCAUGCCUAACACAUGCAAGUCGAACGAGAUCUUCGGGUCUAGUGGCGCACGGGUGCGUAACGCGUGGGAAUCUGCCCUUUGGUUCGGAAUAACAGUUGGAAACGACUGCUAAUACCGGAUGAUGACGAAAGUCCAAAGAUUUAUCGCCAGAGGAUGAGCCCGCGUAGGAUUAGCUAGUUGGUGUGGUAAAGGCGCACCAAGGCGACGAUCCUUAGCUGGUCUGAGAGGAUGAUCAGCCACACUGGGACUGAGCCACGGACCAGCCUCCUACGGGAGGCAGCAGUGGAGAAUAUUGGAAAAGGGGCGAAAGCCUGAUCCAGCAAUGCCGCGUGAGUGAUGAAGGCCUUAGGGUUGUAAAGCUCUUUUACCCGGGAUGAUAAUGACAGUACCGGGAGAAUAAGCGCCGGCUAACUCCGUGCCAGCCGCCGCCGUAA